rnacentral:rRNA from 1 species
UACGAAGGGGCUAGCGUUGUUCGGAAUUACUGGGCGUAAAGCGCGCGCAGGCGGUCUUCCAAGUCAGUGGUGAAAGCCCGGAGCUCAACUCCGGAACUCGCCAUUGAAACUGUUAGACUUGAGGAUGAGAGAGGUGAGUGGAAUUCCCAGUGUAGAGGUGAAAUUCGUAGAUAUUGGGAAGAACACCGGUGGCGAAGGCGGCUCACUGGCUCAUUACUGACGCUCAGGCGCGAUAGCGUGGGGAUCAAACAGG